rnacentral:lncRNA from 1 species
GAUUUUGAAAAAGAUUAGCUUACUGUAAAGAAAUAGUCCAAAGGGCAAGCUGUUGUAGGUGAUGCUUUAAAUGAGUUGAGUCCUUAGAAGAGUUUUGGAAAGGAUGAGACCUUAAAAGGCUAAGAUUCCCAAAUGAGUGAACUGCGACUUUGGAAAAGCUGAGAACCAAGAAGAGAUUUAGAGAAAUUGAGGUCUUAAGAGAUGAAGAUGCUUGAAGUUGUGAGGUUGCAAGAGCGG